CUGCUGCCUCCCGUAGGAGUUUGGGCCGUGUCUCAGUCCCAAUGUGGCCGGUCACCCUCUCAGGUCGGCUACUGAUCGUCGCCUUGGUGAGCCGUUACCUCUCCAACUAGCUAAUCAGACGCGGGUCCAUCUCAUACCACCGGAGUUUUUCACACCAAACCAUGCGGUUUUGUGCGCUUAUGCGGUUUUAGCAGUCAUUUCUAACUGUUAUCCCCCUGUAUGAGGCAGGUUACCCACGCGUUACUCACCCGUCCGCCACU
rnacentral:rRNA from 1 species